rnacentral:rRNA from 1 species
GAUGAACGCUGGCGGCGUGCCUAAUACAUGCAAGUCGAGCGAACAGACGAGGAGCUUGCUCCUCUGACGUUAGCGGCGGACGGGUGAGUAACACGUGGAUAACCUACCUAUAAGACUGGGAUAACUUAGGGAAACCGGAGCUAAUACCGGAUAAUAUAUUGAACCGCAUGGUUCAAUAGUGAAAGACGGUUUUGCUGUCACUUAUAGAUGGAUCCGCGCCGCAUUAGCUAGUUGGUAAGGUAACGGCUUACCAAGGCAACGAUGCGUAGCCGACCUGAGAGGGUGAUCGGCCACACUGGAACUGAGACACGGUCCAGACUCCUACGGGAGGCAGCAGUAGGGAAUCUUCCGCAAUGGGCGAAAGCCUGACUGAGCAACUCCGCGUGAGUGAUGAAGGUCUUCGGAUCGUAAAACUCUGUUAUUAGGGAAGAACAAAUGUGUAAGUAACUAUGCACGUCUGGACGGUACCUAAUCAGAAAGCCACGGCUAACUACGU